AGUCACGAGCCUCGCCGCUGCUGCCGCCGCCGCCCAGAGACUGCUGAGCCCCUGUCCGUCCGCCGCCACCACCCACUCCGGACACAGAACAUUCAGUCAUGGAUAAAAAUGAGCUGGUUCAGAAGGCCAAACUGGCCGAGCAGGCUGAGCGAUAUGAUGACAUGGCAGCCUGCAUGAGGAGAGGAAUCUUCUCUCAGUUGCUUAUAAAAAUGUUGUAGGAGCCUGUAGGUCAUCUUGGAGGGUCGUCUCAAGUAUUGAACAAAAGGCGGAAGGUGCUGAGAAAAAACAGCAGAUGGCUCGAGAAUACAGAGAGAAAAUUGAGACAGAGCUAAGAGAUAUCUGCAAUGAUGUACUGUCUCUCUUGGAAAAGUUCUUGAUCCCCAAUGCUUCACAAGCAGAGAGCAAAGUCUUCUAUUUGAAAAUGAAAGGAGAUUACUACGGUUAUUUGGCUGAGGUUGCCGCUGGUGAUGACAAGAAAGGGAUUGUGGAUCAGUCACAACAAGCAUACCAAGAAGCUUUUGAAAUCAGCAAAAAGGAAAUGCAACCAACACAUCCUAUCAGACUGGGUCUGGCCCUUAACUUCUCUGUGUUCUAUUAUGAGAUUCUGAACUCCCCAGAGAAAGCCUGCUCUCUUGCAAAGACAGCUUUUGAUGAAGCCAUUGCUGAACUUGAUACAUUAAGUGAAGGGUCAUACAAAGACAGCACGCUAAUAAUGCAAUUACUGAGCGACAACUUAACAUUGUGGACAUCGGAUACCCAAGGAGAUGAAGCUGAAGCAGGAGAAGGAGGGGAAAAUUAACCGGCCUUCCAACUUUUGUCUGCCUCAUUCUAAAAUUUACACAGUAGACCAUUUGUCAUCCAUGCUGUCCCACAAAUAGUUUUUUGUUUACGAUUUAUGACAGGUUUAUGUUACUUCUAUUUGAAUUUCUAUAUUUCCCAUGUGGUUUUUAUGUUUAAUAUUAGGGGAGUAGAGCCAGUUAACAUUUAGGGAAUUAAUCUAUUCUCAUCUUGAGGUGGCCAAUAUGGGGAUGUGGAAUUUUUAUACAAGUUAUAAAUGUUUGGCAUAGUACUUUUGGUACAUUGUGGCUUCACAAGGGCCAGUGUUAAAACUGCUUCCAUGUCUAAGCAAAGAAAACUGCCUACAUAUUGGUUUGUCCUGGUGGGGGAUAAAAGGGAUCAUUGGUUCCAGUCACAGGUGUAGUAAUUGUGGGUACUUUAAGGUUUGGAGCACUUCAAAGGCUGUGGUAGAAACAAAUAUCCCAUGGAUACCACAUGUUAAACCAUGUCUAUCUGUGGAGUACUCAAUCUCAAAGUUCACACCUUUGACUACAGCUGCAGAAGUGUUCCUUUAGACAAAGUUGUGACCCAUUUUACUCUGGAUAAGGGCAGAAACAGUUCACAUUCCAUUAUUUGUAAAGUUACCUGCUGUUAGCUUUCAUUAUUUUUGCUACACUCAUUUUAUUUGUAUUUAAAUGUCUCAGGCAACCUAAGAACAAAUGUAAAAGUAAAGAUGCAGUAAAAAUGAAUUGCUUGGUAUUCAUUACUUUGUGUAUAUCAAGCACAGCAGUAAAACAAAAACCCAUGUAUUUAACUUUUUUUUAGGUUUUUUGCUUUUGUGAUUUUUUUUUUUUGAUACUUGCCUAACAUGCAUGUGCUGUAAAAAUAGUUAACAGGGAAAUAACUUGAGAUGAUGGCUAGCUUUGUUUAAUGUCUUAUGAAAUUUUCAUGAACAAUCCAAGCAUAAUUGUUAAGAACAUGUGUAUUAAAUUCAUGUAAGUGGAAUAAAAGUUUUAUGAAUGGACUUUUCAA